rnacentral:rRNA from 1 species
CAGCAGCCGCGGUAAUACGAAGGGUGCAAGCGUUACUCGGAAUUACUGGGCGUAAAGCGUGCGUAGGUGGUCGUUUAAGUCCGUUGUGAAAGCCCUGGGCUCAACCUGGGAACUGCAGUGGAUACUGGGCGACUAGAAUGUGGUAGAGGGUAGCGGAAUUCCUGGUGUAGCAGUGAAAUGCGUAGAGAUCAGGAGGAACAUCCAUGGCGAAAGCAGCUACCUGGACCAACAUUGACACUGAGGCACGAAAGCGUGGGGAGCAAACAGGAUUAGAUACCCUGGUAGUCCACGCCCUAAACGAUGCGAACUGGAUGUUGGGUGCAAUUUGGCACGCAGUAUCGAAGCUAACGCGUUAAGUUCGCCGCCUGGGGAGUACGGCCGCAAGGUUGAAACUUAAAGGAAUUGGCGGG